GUCACUGUUGGCGCUAGUGGGUACCGACUUCUGAGAUUCCUACUAAGACCGGCAUUAGCCCGCUAUUUCCUCCAGCAUAGGGGUUAACAUCAAAAAACUGGAACACAUUAUGAGUCAGGUCCCAAAAGUGUAUCAAAUCGUCUAUUACGUCCAACCUUGGUUUGAUUUUCAAGAGACCAACAAGACCGCCCAAAACUUUUACCACAGUAGCUCUGCUGACUUUUCCUAAGUCAUUCCAUCACAUAUAGAGUUGUAAUGGGACUUUCUCAAGAGCCGUGAAUGGUUCAUUUUGAAUUGUGCUCAUCCUGCACAUUUAUUAGAGUGAUUGGUUAAAAGAUCAUGAUUUAUUUUGACUCAAGAGAAAGUUAUCAGUUUUCAAAAAAAUUUCAUUUCAAAAUUGGGAACGCCUUUGAAAAUACGGCCUUUCACCACCCCAAGGAAGAAGAUUUAGGGUUGUGUUUGCUAAUUGGAAAAAUAUUUUAAAAAAAAGAACCAAAUGUGGUGUCCUUUUGGGGACAUUUUGGCCAUUUAGACAAGAACGUACCUAUCUAAUUUAUAACUAAACAACAAAAUUUUGGUUCUUUUGGAUUAUUUUUGCAAAAACAGAGUUGGACCUGGUGAGGGUUGCCUAUGUAUCCCACAUCCGACGAGAAUCAAACUUGCGUAGUUCAGGUAGUUUUAACAUGAUAAAAACAAUAGCAAAUAUUUCCUUGAUGCAAAAGUUCCUUUUCUUUUUCUAAAAUAUUUUGGCAAAGUUUCGGUACUUUUUGGACAUCGGGUUUUUUCAAAGAUAGGUAAUUAUCUCUCUCAACCCUCAAAUUGAUAUUUCACUCUCCAACAUGCAAUCCGAAGCAAAUAAAUGCAGAAGUGGCAAGUAGAAUGUAUCAUGAUGGUCUUUUAAUUUUUUGGGUACAGCUGUCCUAGAUGGACCCAACCCCUGUGUUGAGCCUCCAAAAUCAAAUGCACAUGAUGAAAAUAAAUGUUCCUACUCGGGAUCUGGCAUGAGACUUUUUAUACUAGGUUUAAACUCUAGGUGUAUUUUUCGAGACCUAGCUUACCCGAGCGGACAGCUCUAGCCGAGGGUGAAGCGUACCAGAAAUACAGAAGCUUCGCCAUCUUUUGAACUUGUCCGAACCUCGUUCUAAAAUUGGUAUAUGACUCUAACAGAAAAGAAGUUACACGAGUGCACACUUCCCAGAUGAUUUAGAAGACUCAUAGAGAAUAGGGUUGUGUAACAAUUUAUAUACAGGUCAAAACAAUAUCAAAGCGGUAAAAAGCAUCAUUUAACACAUUAAGCUCAAUCAUGUAUAAAUCAGAUAUUAAAUAAAAGCCAACUAUAAUAGUUAUUAUCAAAUUCUUGAACCCUAAACCAAAAGUUCUGGGUUCUUUUUCCCCAGCAGAGUUGCUACAGCUAUCACACCUUCUUUUUAUCCAUCCGAGGGGGUAUAUAGGAGUUUUUUCAAUUAAAGUGACAUUAAUAAAAAUGAGAUUAUUUUAUUUAAUUUAUUAGAGUCGUCUCUUGGGAUAAUUUAAUUGGUGUUCCAAGUUACCGAUUUAUUUUAAAAUCGCAAAUCGAGAAAAUUUUGACUUUGUUUAAAAGUCUGCGAAACAGAAAUUCUAAGUAAGGAAUUCUGUUAACUAGGGAGAAUGUGUUAGGCAUUUUCAGGUUCUGUGGUUCUAGCACAUUAAUAAUUGGCAUAUUAUCUGAUUUACUGUACAUUUUAAACUUAUUGUGCAUUUAUUACUUUAUAAUCACUUUUUGAUUAUUUUUACUGCUUUUAGGAUUUAUGGAAUUAUUUCUUGAACAAGUUACGAUUGUCAUACACUUAUUUAUUUUGGAACAAGUCGUGAACCACUUUAUGAGGUCACAUGAAAUUACACCCGAAUUUGAGAAUUAUGUAUCAUAACUAUGUCAUGGGAACCGUACCCAUAGCCACAAUGAUUUAUCAUAAAAUGCGCUUAAAGCAGGCUACAAAUGUUCAAGGGUGUUUUUGAUACUAAGUUAAAAUGGAAGGGCCAGCUUAUAGAUUUUUAUUUGUGUAUGGCACACCUAGAUUAUUUUUUAGAUAAAUAAAUUGCAAUUAUAUUACGCGAACGUAUACAUAAUUAUAAUAAUAAAUUUAAAACUCACCUAAAAGUGCACCUACCCGGGUGUGACCGGCCUAAUCAUGCUACUAGCAAAUAAUACACCAAGAUGAAUAAGUAAAAAAGAACAGUUGUAAUAGGAAAACAAAUUCUAAAUCAUGCUUAAAUUCUAGAUCAUGCUUAAAUUCUAAUAGAAUCAAUAUGUAUUUAUAGUGAAGUUGAGUAUCUGUGACCCAAUUCGACAACCAAAACAAUAAAAUGCCAAUUUGCUUAAACAUUUUAGACUAACUCAAUUUUAAACUAUAAAGGUUCUAUCUCCACUUCCGUUAAACUAACUCGAUAAUAGCAACUGAGAACCAUAUGCUUUUUAGAUACAAAAACAAAACAAAUAAUAGGAAGAUAAAUAGUAUAUCAUGGGUGAAAGAGGAGUGAACCUUCAACUAGCAAAAAUUCCUCCCUGAAUAUUAAGUUUAUAGAAAACAUCCAAGCUUAUCUCAAGUCGAGCCAAAUACUCUUUGAAAUUUAUUAACAAUAAAACCAAGUCAUAUGAUUACCCAAAAUCACAUUCCGACCUUCAAACUUGACCCAAAGAAUGGAUAGCGACAAGAACAUUAGACUAGAAGAUUUCGACGGCAUCCAAAAUUUUUGCACAUGAUCUAGAAACCCAGCAGAAUACCUUAGAGCUUGGUUUUUCAUAGCGUGUGGCUGUGAGGUGACUAUUUUUAGAGGUGGGUCUUGGAGGAAUUUGAAGUGUAGAAAGAGACGAACAGGGUAAGGUUGUGUGAAGGAGACGAACUGAUGGGGGGGGNN
rnacentral:lncRNA from 1 species